rnacentral:rRNA from 1 species
UUAUAUGGUUGAUCCUGCCAGUAGUCAUACUCUCGUCUCAAAGAGAAAGCCAUGCAUGUGUAAGUGUGAAUAUCAGAAGUGCCCUCCAAGAAUGGCUCAUUAUAUCAGUUAUAGUUUAUCAAUUGAAGUGCAAUACUUGGAUCCCCGUAGUAAUUUAAGGUCUCAUCCUUGAGAAAGUCGUAUGGGGAGGUGUGUUUACUAGAAUCCUUCCCAGGAUGUGGUACCCAUUUGUGAGUAAUAGUCUCCUAUCGUAUCGCCAAAUAAUUCAUCGAUGAGUCUUUCCAGGGUAUUCCAUAUCACCUUCAGAGGGUAGUAUAAGGGCAUACCAUGGCAGUACCGGGUGUUGAAGAAUCAGGGUUCGAUUUCGGAGAGGGAGCCUCAGAGAUGGCUACCACAUCCAAGGAAGGCAGCAGAUGAGUACAUUACCCAAUCCUUUAUCCAGGAGGUAGCUCCAAAAAAUCUCCGGUUGGCCAUAUCAGUUUUUCCAUCGAAUAGACUAUAAUGGAUAUAAUGAACCAUUCGCACAUUCAGGGCAAGUUAUGGAUACAGCCACCGCCGUGAUUCCAUCUCCAAUACGAGUAUAAUAACGUUGUUCCAG